CGCGUGGUUUCGUUUCCGAGCUGGAGACCUCCCCGCGUUCCAGGCCGGCUCCUCUCCCAGGUGGCACCUCUCCUCCAGCGUGGCAACCCCACCUCAACGCGCAUGUGCUUCCCUCUGUUUCCGCCGAUCAGCUGUCUCUUCUCCAUUCACGCAAGCAAGCUCUCUUUUUUCACGAAUUUGAUUUAACAGGUAAUGAUCAAUUCGAACCCUAGAUCCCUUGCCUCCUUCUCCUAAUUUUCUUUCCUCCGUCCUACGAUACGUUGUCUACAAGCUCUGUUUUUCGGGACUCUGCUUCCCCGCCGUUCAUCGAAGCUGUUGCCACUCUCGCCUUCCUGCCUUGAUCUUCUCUGUCCGUGUGAUCUGUCUUUCUGUCCUUUUUCUCGGUUUCUCUCUGCACGGUAUUGGUGUCACUCUAAAAUCCUGAUCUUCAACCCAGUUUUCUUUAUCCCCAUCCAAUUCGUGUUUCUGGAUCCUUUCUUGGAUUAUCCCAGUUUUCUCCAUCUGGGUACAUUGUGCAUUAAGGUGUCUGACUUCCAUCGACGUUUUCUGUCUCGAACGACCCCUCAGAACAGUAUUGUGCUAGGGGUCGCUUUCUUGUUCUUUGCCUUGAUCAUGUGCAAAAUUCAGAUAGUGGUUCAAUGACAUUAUGUUCAAAAGAAGGAUCAUCAUCUCUACGAACUUCACCAUUUCAAUUGUUACAUAUGCUCCUGAACAGUUAUCAGGCAGCAGUCUUGGUAGCAGCCCCAAUGAUAAUAGUUCCGAUGGGAUCAAACUAGAUGAAAAUGAAGUAUGGCAGUUCCGGUUUGCUUAUGGCAAUACAUGGCAGGGAAUGUUUUAUGUUUGUGAUUUCCCAAAUGACAAUUCCCAAAGAGUGAGAAAGUUUGCGCAAGGAAUGACACGUUUCUUGGUAACAUCAUUGACUGUACUGCGGUCUCUAUUGUGGAAACCCCCCUUUCCCCAACAACUCUGCCUUCUUUUUUCUUGAAAAAAAAAGGAAAAAUAAAAGAUAAAUGAAAAUAAGAACUCAAUUUUUGAGUUUUACUUUUCAUUGGAUCUUCGUGGGAUAUUAAAGAGCAUUUUCUGCAUUAAUAUUGUUUUAGGUUUUCUGCUUUAGUUAUGGAUGCUUACACAUUAUUUUUUUAUCCUAUGUUUGGUAUAGUAGGAUAAAAAUCCACUUAUCUUGAUAUGUUUUGAGGAGGUUGGUAAAGUGAUAAAGUAAGACUUUAAUCACCCUUGAAUUAAGAUAGUAGGGCUCACAAAUAAUAAAAGUUACAAAUUCAAAGGUGAUUAAAACUUUACUUUUCCACUUUACCAAACCUCCACAUUUUAGAUGAUCUUUUUCCCCCUUCAUGACCAGAACUGUUUGACUUUUUUGGUGAACUGUUUCACUUAUAAAUUCUAGUUUAGGAUACAGAAAGAUUGGAGCAACUUUACUCUGACCCAUUGCUGAGGUUAGUUGCUGAUUGCAUUCUUAUGGAUGCUGAAACGGCUGUCGGCUGUUGUUUCGGAUCGUAAAGGAAGCAUUGCUAUUUUAUGUUCAGAUCAUUUGGAAGAUACUCACAUGGACGGGUAACAUGAGGUCUAUAUAUUCUCCUCACAUUCUCCAUUCUCUCGACUCCACUUAUCCUCUCUAACUCUCUUUAAUUUGUCAAAGCUUUGGAAGAUAUGGGUUAGGUAGCUCUCUCGAAUGGGCAGAGCCAUUCUCUGAAUGGUUAUAGGAAGAGCUGUUGGUAUGAAGAAGAGAUUGAAGACAACUUAAGAUGGUGUUUUGCUCUUAAUAGUAUAUUGGAUACAGGAGCUAGCCAAUACCAAGAUAUUGCACUGUUGGACACAAAGACCUUUGGAAAGGUGAGCUUCUUGGAUCAUUA